AUUAAUAAAACAAUGAACUUUUAAUAAACUGACCUAGCAUAGUGGCUUAGGCCGCUAUCCAUAUGAAUUUAGAAUAAUCAAACCACAUAAGUAAAUUUAUUGGUUGAUAAUAAAACU
rnacentral:misc_RNA from 1 species